AAUCCAGCGAAGCAAGCCCAGGCAAACACAGCAUCACCGAACAUGGAACCCUAACCCUCCCUCAUCUCAUUCGUGAAGAGCCCUUAAGAGCCCUCUCUCUCUCUCCCCCCAUCUCUGUAACAGGAUUGAAGCGUAGCCGUUGAGCCCUAACCCUCAUUCAAGCCCUCUCUCUUUCCCCCUCUGUAACAGCAAAGCACUUCUCCACGUCUAACCGUCGUUGGUGCGCCCUCUCUGUAACCCAGCGAAGCACUUCUCCACUUCUGCCAUUCAUUUAUUGUUGUUCUAGUAAUAUGGACCAUGUGGAAGCAAGUGGCAGUACGUGUGGUGCCUACAGGCUUUUUGUUGGAUUUCACUAGUUAGCUAACUAGCUUGUGCCAAGGUGUGUGAGUUUUCUGGCAGCUGGAGGGUCGUGAAAGCAAGGAGGUUAUGGGAUUAUGUGACAAUGGACGGGCUUACAUGUUACAUGCUUACGGAAGGCUAGGAAAAUAACAUCAUAUUAAAGUCAUUAUGACUUGUUUCCUCACUAUUAAUUCCUUGGAGCUCCCCUACUGCAUUAUGACUGUUAUUUCAACCACAAUUUACCU